GAGGGAGAAUACUUGAAAUUAUUUCUGGAAGAUAUGGGAACUUUUGCGUGAAAAAGGGCUACAGAAUUUUGCCUGUAAAGUUAUGCUAAUCUCUGUACAGAAAUGUCUGACAAUUCAGAAGCUGAAACUCAGCAAAAUCUCUACUUUAAGUGUCAGAUAAAGCCUAACGUCAAAGGAAAGGGCAAGAGUCUCAGGAAAGAGUAUGCUGACUUCCAGGGCCAGUUCUUCAGAAUCUGCUUUUUCUCCUGAAAUCAGGCCAUGCGAAAAGAAGAUGUUGCCUCCUGGCACAGAUCAUUCAUCCUGCCUGGUCCUCAGUCAAGUCUCCAGCAGCUUGGGAUGUCUGAAGAAUGAAAAGCCUAAGAGACAAGGCCCGGGGAUGCCCAACAUACAUUCUAUAAGUGGGGAAAGUGGAUAAAAUGUUUUCUGUGUGGAAAGGACAAAUAACAGUUAAUUUCUACUGGAAAAGUAAACAAAAACCGUAAUUAAAAUUGCUCAAAAGUAAA
rnacentral:lncRNA from 1 species